rnacentral:tRNA from 1 species
GGGUUUGUAGCUCAGCUGGUUAGAGUACCACGUUGACAUCGUGGGGGUCGGAGGUUCGAGUCCUCUCAAACCCACCA